GUUUUCCAUGAAUUGUUUAACAAAUGUAUGCAACACUUUUUGACAAAAUUUUAACAAAAAAAUGUAUGCAUGUAUGUUACACAAUCAUAUUGCGUUGUGAUAUUUUGAAGAUGACGUGAUGAAGCUCCUGCUGAAGAAUCUAUUCUGCCCCUGAAAUGUGUACGGCACUGGUUGUGGAGUACACUCUGGAAACUUCUAUGAAAACCAAAUUCGUUAAUAGUUGGAAAAGUUUAAUAUAUAGCGUAAACUUAGACACAGUUUGAACUGAGAAUUAGCACUGAUAACAUCUUGUUAGAUGAUGGAGAUAGUGCUUUUGAUUGUUCAUGUGUAUAUUCUUGAGGAUUCAAUGUGAUACUUUUAGAGAAAUAAAUCAACUUAUCCUAUCCAUUCUCACCAACAUGAGUAGCUUAAGAGAGAGACGAUGGUCCAAUCUGUCCAAGAUGAAUAGCACUUUGUAUAAUCUAUUAGUCGCAUUAAUAGAUGAAAUGAUGUCUAACAUAAGUUUUAAAUUAACUGCGCUGUAUUAUUUUCCACUUUAUGAUUAAAUUGAUUUAUUCUGUUUUACCUGAAAUUGUCUUAUUUGAAAUGCCCAAUUUGUAUUUGAAUGUUUAAACAAUAAAUAUAAUUUUUCUUUC